GCGCACCAGUCGCGAAACCUCCGCAAUGCGGGAAACCGCGACGGGGGACCCCGAGUGCCGUGGCAACGCCACGGCUUUUCCGGAGUGUAAAAAGCUCCGGGAAUAAGGGCUGGGCAAGGCCGGUGGCAGCCGCCGCGGUAAUACCGGCGGCCCGAGUGGUGGCCGCUAUUAUUGGGCCUAAAGCGUCCGUAGCCGGGCCCGUAAGUCCCUGGCGAAAUCCCACGGCUCAACCGUGGGGCUUGCUGGGGAUACUGCGGGUCUUGGGACCGGGAGAGGCGGGGGGUACCCCUGGGGUAGGGGUGAAAUCCUAUAAUCCCAGGGGGACCGCCAGUGGCGAAGGCGCCCCGCUGGAACGGGUCCGACGGUGAGGGACGAAGGCCAGGGGAGCAAACCGGAUUAGAUACCCCGGUAGU
rnacentral:rRNA from 1 species